UCGAGAAUCUUCCGCAAUGGGCGAAAGCCUGACGGAGCGACGCCGCGUGUAGGAUGAAGGCCCUCGGGUUGUAAACUACUGUCACGGGUUAUGAAUGUGCAUAUGUUAACAGCGUGUGUAUUGACGUAAGCCCGAAAGGAAGCACCGGCUAACUCUGUGCCAGCAGCCGCGGUAAUACAGAGGGUGCAAACGUUGUUCGGAAUUACUGGGCAUAAAGCGCGCGUAGGCGGCGACGUAAGUGUAGGGUGAAAUCCCACGGCUCACCCGUGUGAAUUGCCCCGCAUACUGCGUUGCUUGAGUGUGGUAGGGGAGAGCGGAACUCCUGGUGGAGCGGUGAAAUGCGUAGAUAUCAGGAGGAACACCGGUGGCGUAGGCGGCUCUCUGGUCCAUAACUGACGCUGAAGUGCGAAAGCUAGGGUAGCGAACGGGAUUAGAUACCCGUGUAGUCCCUGAGCGGGCUGGCAAGGCGCAU
rnacentral:rRNA from 1 species